GGAAUAGAACUGCAGAUACAUAUUAUACUAAAAUCCACCAUGACAGAUGAAUAUGAUGCCAAGGAUUAGAUUUGAAAAAAGUUCUUCUCCUCUCUACAUUUGAUGAAAGCCAUUUUCAGUGGGAAUAGAACUGCAGACGCAUAUACCAAAAUCCACCAUGACAGACGAAUAUGCUGCCAACUACAGUUUUAGAUUUAAAACUCCUUUCUACAUCUGAUGGAAACCAUUUUCAGACCAAGAGCAGAGAGACUACGCCUCAUGAAGCUCAAAUCGAGGACGAUAGCAGUUCAAAGUAAAAAUAUAUAAUUAGUAAUAAAUUGAAAGUUCAAUUUUUGUAAUAUUUAAUAAAAAUCAUUGCAUUUUAUUGAAAA